rnacentral:rRNA from 1 species
GACGAACGCUGGCGGCGUGCUUAACACAUGCCAGUCGAACGGAACGGCCCUGCUUUGGUGCGGUGCUCGAGUGGCGAACGGGGAAGUAACACGUAAGUAAGCUGCACUUGACCUUGGGGUAACUUCAGGCAACUGGGUCUAAUACCGGAUAGGAGCUCCUGCUGCAUGGUGGGGGUUGGAAAGUUUCGGCGGUUGGGGAUGGACUCGCGGCCUAUCAGCUUGUUGGUGGGGUAGUGUCUGAGCAAGGCUUGGACGGGUAGCCUGCCUGGGAGGGGGACCGGACCCACUGGGACGGGACUGAGACACAGACUACAACGGUAGGCAAGGGUGGAGAGGAUUAUAUAAUGGGCGGAAGGCUGACGUAGCAACGCCGCGUGCGGGAUGACGGCCUUGGGGUUGGAUAGUGAUGUCGCUUGUGACGAGGCGUUAGUGACGGUAAUGGGUGAAUAAGCACCGGCUAACUACGUG